rnacentral:rRNA from 1 species
CCUACGGGUGGCAGCAGUGAGGAAUAUUGGUCAAUGGGCGAGAGCCUGAACCAGCCAAGUCGCGUGAGGGAGUACUGCCCUAUGGGUUGUAAACCUCUUUUGUCGGGGAGCAAAAGCCGGACGUGUCCGGCUGUGAGAGUACCCGAAGAAAAAGCAUCGGCUAACUCCGUGCCAGCAGCCGCGGUAAUACGGAGGAUGCGAGCGUUAUCCGGAUUUAUUGGGUUUAAAGGGAGCGUAGGUGGAUUGUUAAGUCAGUUGUGAAAGUUUGCGGCUCAACCGUAAAAUUGCAGUUGAAACUGGCAGUCUUGAGUACAGUAGAGGUGGGCGGAAUUCGUGGUGUAGCGGUGAAAUGCGUAGAGAUUAGGAAGAACACCAGUGGCGAAGGCGACUUACUGGACUGUAACUGACGCUGAGGCAUGAGAGCAUGGGGAGCAAACAGGAUUAGAUACCCCUGUAGUC